CCGCCCCCGGCCCCCUCCCCCCGCGCCCUCAGCCCUGCCCGCGCCGCUGGGGGUCUGGGAGCACGCGAGGGAGGCGGGAGCGCGGCCGGGCCGGACCCGGGGUUCCCCCCGCCGAUUUUUUUUAUUACUUAUUAGCAACCACGCUCUCUGCUCUUGGGACGACCCCUCGCCUUUGAACGUGGCCGGCCCUGUUAUUACCGGUGCUCUGCCGGGGCCUGAGGUUGCUCCCCUGCGCCGAGCGCCGCCGUGGACUGAAGGACAAUCUUUUUCCCCGGCAGCCCUUCGCGCCGACCAGAGUUCGCUCGGGAUGCUCCCUCCCCACCGCCGGGAACCGCCGAGGCCCGAGGAGCCUGCAGCCUUGCGCGGGGGCAGUGGGGCCUGGUACGCUGAUGUCUGUGCCCUGUACGGGUAGGGACGUCGAGGCCAAGAGCGACCGAGCAGCUCCGCGUUGCUGGGGAAGGAACCCAGGGACGCACAACCAGUGAUUUCUAAUCUCUGAAACCAGUGAUUUCCAACUUGUUCGGCCAAGAAACUCUCAGACGUGAAAUCACGUUGCCGCUUAGUGGGUAAGAGGAAAGGCGCUGUGCCCACAGAUAGCGUGUUUGGUUCCGAUCCAGCCUCCCGCACGUACUAGCUGGGUGGCCUCGGACGAGGACUCCACCUCUCCAGAAGCCCAGAGCCCCCCCGCCGAAUGGAGCGUCUACACUAACAUCAUUCCCGACAAGCUAUGGAGGAUUUGUGGAGUUCCAACUCUCCUCUGAACUACUAGGCCCUUUCUCCCCAACUUUUCUCUCUCCCUCAGUUAAUGCUACUGACUUUUCGGAAUAACUGUGGACUCCAAAAAUGGGCCCUAUUUUAGAAACAUUCACAAUGAUGCCUCUCUCCAAGCCAAACACCCCAGCUUCAACCAGCUUAUCAUUCUCCUCCAUGAAAGGGUGGAGCUGAAAAACCCCUGCCGAUAGACCAAGUCGACUUCCUUUGUUGGACAGAGUUACAAUAAAUUUAAACUGUCAAAACUG
rnacentral:lncRNA from 1 species